GGAUGGAUGAGCUAAAGCAAAUAAAGCUAAAGCGCCUCGUUAAUUAAUUAUUAGUGUACUAUAGUUGUAGCAAAUCGGCAAUUCCUUCCCUCUCCUCUCUUUUUCCUUGCUCUCACCACUCCAUCAAGUCAAGUAUAUAUCUCUGUCCCCGAAGCCUAGCCCUCCGCCAGUCCAGGCCUGGGCUCCAUUUAUAUUGCGGGGACGAAGGUUUUUGAAGAUCUUUUAUAAGGUCAGCAGCUAGUAGGCGAUGAGUCGAGGGCUGCUUAAUGCUUGUCCAUCGAAUCGAAUCAGUAGCAUUCACAGAUUUUUAGAUCCUCAAUUACCAUUUUGGCAUCAGUUUAAGCAGAAUCCAAAUCCGCAUAUUCCACAGGUCAUUGAGGCGUGUCAAUCUGCCUUUGAUUCACACUCAGCGCUCUUUCCGUCUUUCGUUUCAGCAUCCGACUGUACAAACAAUUAUCCAAAAAGCAGAGUCUACGAUCAAGAAAAAAUUCAUAUACAAUGAAACAUCUACACAUUUCACUCGUGCAUGAUGGCACUGCAAUAGAGUACAUCGGAGUUUAAAGAAUAAUUCCGGAAAAAAAAAAA